UGCUGGGUACUGAUGGAGACACGACGGGCCUACCGGAACCACCGUUAGGUUUGUGUGGUGCAAGGAGCGAGCUCGGCGGUGGAGAAUAAGCUGGUGGUGAUGGUUGGAUUGGGGGAGAGUUGGUGGGGUCUGACGGUGGAGCCGGAGGUGAGUGGGUUGGUUCUGACGGUGGAGCAGGAGGAGAUUCCGGCGGUGGGGUUUCAGGGUUUGUUGAAGAAGAUGAUGGUGGAGGAGGAGGGGAUUGAACGUCUGGAGAUGGAGGAGGGUUGUUGGAUUCGUUUGGUGGAGCUGGUGGAGUAUCUGAA
rnacentral:lncRNA from 1 species